rnacentral:rRNA from 1 species
GACGAACGCUGGCGGCGUGCUUAACACAUGCAUGUCGAACGGAAAGGCCCUGCAUUUGUGGGGUGCUCGAGUGGCGAACGGGUGAGUCACACGUGAGUAACCUGCCCUUGACUUUGGGCAAACUUCAGGAAACUGGGGCUAAUACCGGAUAGGAGCUCCUGCCACAUGGUGGGGGUUGGAAAGUUUCGGCGGUUGGGGAUGGACUCGCGGCUUAUCAGCUUGUUGGUGGGGUAGUGGCUUACCAAGGCUUUGACGGGUAGCCGGCCUGAGAGGGUGACCGGCCACAUUGGGACUGAGAUACGGCCCAGACUCCUACGGGAGGCAGCAGUGGGGAAUAGUGUACAACGGGCUGAAGCCAGAGGCAGCAACGCCGCGUGCUGGAUGACGGCCUUCUGGUAGUAAACCGCUUUCGCCUGUGACGAAGCGUGAGUGACGGUAAUAGGUAAAGAAGCACCGGCUAACUACGUG